CGCGAGAAGUCGAAGGUAGGAGCAGAAAGCGGUGCUAGUGUUAGUUCUGGCCCGUUUGGACCCAAACUAAAGUGUAUCAGUAUGAAGCAGGCGGUGACGGCGCACUGAUUCACUCUCGGAGCUCGGUUCACUAAUGACCGAAUCACCGAGGAACCGACCAAAGAUAACUCACACCCGCACGGAGAAGAAGAACAAGAGGAGGAGAAGAUGAGCUGGAGUAGGGCAAAGAGAACUGCAUUCAGAUCAAACGGAUACGAGAGAGGUGGCCGAGUUGUUUGAGGAUCUAAAGAAUCGAGUGUCACAAUUCAACAUGCACAUCAGCGAAACUUCUCCCUCUGACUACACCAGCACGCACGCACAGAAAUUCAUAGUGCAGGUGGCGAUUGCAGGCACAUUUUAUCCGAACUGCUUCCUCCAGGGAACUGUGGACGAGGAGCUCGCCUCCAAGGAACUCUAUGGAAACGACCCCAGGACCACCGUAGUGGUGUGUAAUCUCCCUCCAUUUGCAUUCCUCUACUAUAAACAGCUCCAGUCUCUCUUCAGACACUGUGGUUAAAUCAAAUCCAUCUCCUUUGACAGCUCCAGGGCCUAUGUAGAGUUCUACCGCUCGUCAAUGAGAGGUUCUGGCGUUCUCCCAGAGGUCUCUCUGUCUCUCCUCCUCACGCAGCAGAGACUUCCUCUCCAUCUCAACGUUUAACCCGCUGGAGAGGUGGAGACUUGGGCAGGGGGGUAGUGUAUCUCACACCUCAGAUAUACACGGUACACACACUCUGCAGCGAGCAUCAUCAGAUGAGUCAUGGUUACAUUUUAAGUGAGAGUAGUCAUGUGACCACAUCCCCUAGACAGUGUGAUGUUUAGAUGAUGUUCUGUACAUUAGUGCUGUUCUGUUACAGGUCUCUCUCUCUGUGUCUCUCUCACUCACUGUGUGUGUGUGUGUGUCUCUCUCAGGGUGAAUGUGGAUUUUCAGAAUCAGUCAGUGAGCCCUGUCGGGGUUCUGAGCAGCUCCGUUGAGGUGGAGAAUCUUCCGUCUAACCCUGUCUUUAUCGUCAAUAUCACCGAGGUGUCUGUUCCGCCUCUUUCACUUUCAGUGCACAAAUAAAAAAGAAGCUGUGUGUGUGUGUGUGUGUGUGUGUGUGUGUGUGUGUGUGUGCGCGCACUAACAGGAGGUCCAGGUGCAGCCUUUGGAUAUUGAUGAAGAUUUACUGCCCCUGCAAGACCUUCCUCGACUGCGUAGUCUGGAGCAAAGGAUACAACAGAGCCCAGAUUACAAGCAAAAUCUGGUAAACUGGUUGGCGCUUAUUGACGGGGUGUAUGUGCGUGACUGCACCUGGCGCAUAUUGAAGAGGGUGAUUGCUAACUCCCUGGCAAAGAAUCUCAAUUGGAGGGGAGUCAAUGGAAAGACUUCACUGUCCGCUCUCCAACUCGGAGAGGUCGUGAUUGCUGCAGUUCAUAGAAACCUCUUCACGGCUAAAGCUGCAGAGAUGGAGGUCGAGGGGUCCAUGAAGAGGCGGCUCCAGCUGGCAUCAGAUCGAGAGUGUGGGCGCAAGAGCAGACUUUUGAUAAAGGAGGGUAUUUACAGUGUUUUAACUGCUGUGUUUUUUGCGCUAUUUAUUAAUUUGUUAAAAUGUUCAUAUUAUAGUCUAUUUUUAAUUGUUUAUAAAAGUCCUUGAUGUUUUUAAGUGGCUGAAUUAGUGUGUGUGCACGCGUGUGUGUGUGUGUUGGUAGCUGGGUGGGUAUAUAGUUCUGGUCGGAAGUUGACGUACCCCUUGCAGGAGAAAGAGACCCUGUGUAAUCUGUUUAAACGACUUUUACGCAUGUUUUGCAGAGAGAUCAUUUUCACCUUGCUGUUUGGGUCUCUGUCCCACACUGUUACAGUGCAGUAUUGAGAGCGCGCGGGAGAUCGAUUUUCUAUCAGAAACAGUAACUAUAUAAAAUGGACGUCAACACGCACCACUCUGUGAGGUCAUUUCUCGCUCUCAACAGAGUAGUUGUGAUUGUUCAGUGUUUACGACGGGGCCAAAACAUUCAAGGCCAUGGUGUAUUUUGACUGUUCCUGUAGCAUAAUCUCACCAAACUGUGUGUACACGAGUCCACAGACACUGAGUCUAUUCACAGUUCCAUGCUGUGUAGAUGUUCUGCUCAUCCUCACUGUACCGUAAAGAUCAGAACCUCACAUCUGCAACCUUGUAGCUUUCCUUAAUCAACACGACUGCGACCAAGCUUGUGUAGCACUACUAUUUUUAGAUCUCCGCCUCUCAAAUCUAUUGGCGCCCUGCGCGUCCGCCUCUCAAAUCUAUUGGCGCCCUACGCGUCCGGCUCUCAAAUCUAUUGGUGCCCUAUGCGGCCGGCUCGCAAAUCUAUCGCCGCCCUACGCGGCCGGCUCUCAAAUGUAUUGGCGCCCUACGCGUCCGGCUCUCAAAACUAUUGGUGCCCUUAGUGUCGGCUCUCAAAAGUAUUGGCGCCCUUCACGGGCAGCUCUCAAAAGUAUUGGCACCCGAUCCAAAUUUUGCCACAGCAAGCACCACUCACAUUUUCUUCAGGAAAUGUCCCUUAAAAUAAUAAAAAGUCUCUCACUAGGCUCUGUGUCGAGAUAAACGUAAAAACAUCUUGAGCUUGUGUUCACCACAGACCUUAUUUCCGGCAUUUAACCCAAAACCCCAUUGACGGAAGUGCUAAUACGCUGAAUCGUUUCUGGAUUUCACGACUCAUUCCUGCAGCACUCUGUAAGACGGGCUGUUGUUAUCAAACCAUUGAAAUCGGAUAAGCGCUUUGGUAAUGAUUCUUUAAAUGAACCGAUUCAGAAUCCUCUUCUUGAAUCGUUUGAGUCGUUCUCAUUCAGGGUUGCGCGUGUGGGUUGCUUUUCCUGCACGUGUAAUCAGCACGUGUUCACAGUGCUGAUUACACUCGACAGAAAUUUCAUACUGAAGUAUUUUAUAUUUUCUGGGUCUAAACAGAGCAGAAGUAUUGCUAAUGUGUUGUACAGAUUCUAUUGGACUGGUGAACUGUGUGGAUUUGUAUAUUUAACCCAGUUUAAUAUGGCCUGCUUUGUUCAGUCAGAGACAAGUAAAUCUGUUCUAAUGUUCAUUUAUUUUCCAUAGAUAAAACAAAUGUUUGCUUACACAUGAAUACGUACUUUAUGCCUUCAGAAUGGUGGAGAUUUGUCUCUUAACUAUUUUAAAUUUGGUUCUCUUCAACAGGUUGUGUUUGAGUUGUGCAGGCUUGUGUCACCUGACUUAAAGAAGGCAUUGUUUGAAGGGCUUGAUCAGCACCUCCCACGGCUCCUGCAGUUGUACAACACCGAGAGGCAGUGAAAUACCCGAAAUCCAACAUGUGAUGACCCGCAUUGAUCAAGAGUUUAUUUUGGAUACAGGCAGAGGAAGCUCAGCGAAAGCUUAAGAGACAGAAUGGAGAGGACCCAGCCCUGCCUCCAUUCUGCCCACUGUUUGCCAGCUUGGGAAACAUUCUGCAGUGUGACGUGCUGCUUGGCAUGCUGGGAGC